ACCAUUAUCUGACAGGGGGAAUACCACAAUCAAGAAGAUGUUUUCCCCAGGGCAAGGCUUUUUCAUUGCACACUUUGGCUGGAUUGACCCCUGUGAUUUCCCAAAAUGUGGGAAACUCAACUGCAUAAAUUUUCUUUCCCAUGUAAAUACUUCUUCAGAUGUCUCCUGA